UUGUAAUAAAAUUAUAAUUAUUAAAUAAUAAAGUUUAUUUAUUUAUUGGGUUUUAAUGAAAUAAUUAUAAAAGUUUGUCAAAAAAACAAUUAUAUGGUAAUAAUGACCUAAAAAGUAAAGCUAGUGGUUUAGGAAGGUUAUAUAAAUCGGUGUAGCUAUAACAACCAUAAAAAAAAAAGCCCCAUUAGAGGGUCCUAGAUUGUUAAGGCCCAUAUGAUGUAUUUUGUAAUGGGGGAUUGAGUUGAAUCGUUUUACUAGGUAAAUAUCAAACAUAAAGAUCUAGAACACAUAUAAAAGAAACAGAAAAAUAUAGCACCAUAUUCAACAAUACAAACACAUGGAGAUCAUAUCAAAUGUAUAUCAACAUUAAACAUAACUCAACGCGAGCCUCCAAUUACACAAACAUAUCAUACAAUAAUAGCAAAAUGAAGAUCCCCAAAGUUCAUUUCUUUAAAUUCACAUUUUACAAUUACAAUAGUUCAAAACAAAUAACAAAAACCAAUCCACAACUAGAAAAUGUCUUAGAUAUACUAUUUAAGAUACAAAAACUUGAAAUCAUAGUAUCGCAGUUCUUAUCCAACAUGAUGUUAGAGCUAUUUAUAUCACCAUGCACGACUUUCUGUUGCGAUAACAAAGGAUUAUGACGGUAUGCUAACCCACGCACAAAACCAAUGUCUAUCUUGACGCAUCAGACUCUCACGUGACACUUGCACAACACAUAUUUUUGGAUGCACAAGUCUCAUGUAGAGCAAAUGUCUCAAGAUAUGCAAUGAUGUUGCGUGUGGGCUAGACUACCUUCAUAAUCCUUUGUAAUCGUUGACAAAAAGUCAUACAUCGUGACAUAAAGAGCUCCAACAUCUUGUUGGAUGAGAAUCAAGAAACCACGAUUUCUACAUUUUAUAGAUAUCAAAAAUAGUUUAUGGUAUCUACAUGCUUAUAAACUCGUCAACUCAAAUCUUCAAAUGGACAACAAUGCCAUUGUGGUCUUCGAUUGGAAAUCCAUCCUUUAGAGCAUCUCCAACUCAUCCUCAAAUGCUAUUUUUUUCUCCAUUUUCUCUCCCAUUCUUCUCCAACCCUAUCCUAUUUCUCCCUCCAUGUUUGGAGAUAUGAAUAGUAUUACCCCAUAUAUAUACACAUGAAGUUUCAGUUGUCGGGUUUAGUCCCUAAUUUUAUAUAUUUAUACAUUUGUAGUUUAUUUUAUCUAUUAGAUUUAAUUUAAAUAUAAUGUUUAAUAUUUAUAAUAUUAUGAAAUAUAAUAAAUUAUAUUGAUUAAUCAAAAAUAUAAAAUUUAUUUUUAUUUGUUAAAACUAAAUUAGUAAAGGGGUGUGUUUGUAAAGGGGGGAAAUAUGGAUAGGUUGGAGAUGGUCUUAACCAUCAUGUAAAGACCUCCAAAGUAACUGAAAAAAAAAACAUAAUCUCGUCAUUAAAAUUUCAAACUUACUAACCAAUAAAAAAUAAACUGGUAGACACUUUGCAAAGUGUUUAAAAAAAUAAACUAUACCAUAAAAUGGUGGAAAACGAGCUAAAAGAAUAAAAACUAGUGUUAACAGAUUUAACAAUUUGUAAGCAGAUCUAAUGCUAGAUCUACAAAAUUCGAACAAUUGUCUUUAUGCGAUUCAAAUUUGUACACAACAUCGAUCUCACAGUUUGAUAAUUUUUAUGAUCUGUAACUAACAAAAUAGAGAAUCAAACUAAAUUUUUUUUUAUGAAAUCUAGAUCUAAAGAAAUCGGCCAAAUGCUCUUUAAGAUAUCUUAGAAAACUUUUAAUUCAAUAAUCAGCUUGAAUUGAAUACUAAAAAAAUAAAGUGACUUGUAAAUAUAUAAUAGGCGAUAAACAACAUGAUGUAAUACAUACCUAUAAUGGACGAUAAUCAAUUUAUCAAUAAAACCUAUGAUUAAUUUCAAGAAAAAAUGAAGAGAAAGAAAGAUUCGAUCGAUUACCUGUGAUUGUUUGUGGCGUCGAUCGAAGAGAAAGAAAGCUGUAUGAAUCUAUGAUUCGAUUUUUUCUUGUGCGUUUCGAUCGAUUAAAGAAAGAAGGGUAACUCCGUCAAUUUGGAAAUAUGUCGGCUGUAACCUAGAAAACUAGAAGAGAAGCGUGAACGAGUUAUUUUAGGGUUAGUCUUCCAGAAGUGUAAUAUUAUAUAUAGGGUAAAUUUCAUUGAUAUCCUAUCAAACUUUAGAUAUUAUUUUUAUAUCCUUUCAAAUUUUAAAAUUACAUGUAA
rnacentral:lncRNA from 1 species